rnacentral:tRNA from 1 species
UAAAAGAUAAGCUAAUAAAGCUAGCGGGCUCAUACCCCGUUUAUGAAAUUUCUCAAAAUUUCUCUUUUAA